CAGCAGCCGCGGGAAUACGGAGGGGGCUAGCGUUGUUCGGAAUUACUGGGCGUAAAGCGCACGUAGGCGGCUUGGUAAGUUAGAGGUGAAAGCCCGGAGCUCAACUCCGGAAUUGCCUUUAAGACUGCCGAGCUAGUAGGUGAGAGGGGUAAGUGGAAUUCCGAGUGUAGAGGUGAAAUUCGUAGAUAUUCGGAAGAACACCAGUGGCGAAGGCGGCUUACUGGCUCAUUCUAGACGCUGAGGUGCGAAAGCGUGGGGAGCAAACAGGAUUAGAUACCCGCGUAGUCCCUGUCUCUUAUAC
rnacentral:rRNA from 1 species